GUUUAGGAUAGCUCAGUCAAUAGACCAUGAGGCUCUUAAUCUCAGGGUUGUGGGUUUGAGCCCCACACUGGACA